AUUACCACUAAACAAUGUUCGGAAGAGAGUAGUCGCCAUAACAGGUGUGUCGGAGAAGAGAACAGAGAACUGUAACAAGAAUUACAAAAGAAGGUAUAACAGCGGCGAGAUCGUCGAAAAAAAUUGUCACCCCGGGGAAGAGUCGCCCGCAUUCGAUAGUAUAGUAUCAAUAUAAAAAAGAACAAUUAUAUCUACGGCUAGUGAUACUGAAACAGAAUCUGAUUCUGUUUCCAUUCACUCUUCAGACAGUGAUGUUCCUAUGGCUGAUCCGCUGAUUACAAUUAUUCAAUAAAACUGAAUUAAAAAUU